AUCAAAGGUCACAGAGCUAAGAGUGGCAGAGUCAGGCCUGGAGCCCAGGAAGUCUGGUUUCGAAUUUCAUGCUUCUAACCUGAGCACUGUACUGCUUGGUGGAGUUCUCUGCUAGUCCUACCUUUCAGGCAGAGGAGUUGAAGAGCAAUUCCCUCCAGUUUCCAUUAGAAAUGCUUCUUCUUCCAUAUCAAAUAUUGUGAGAUAGCCUGAAACACCUUUCAACACUUUACUACCCUUCUCCAAAAUUCAACAGAUAUGAUUUCCACGGACUUUACUCACAGGGGCUUCAGUAGAAGAGGAAGAGGCUUGGGUUUAAUUGAAGGUGGCCUGAGACAUCUGUGAGGAACAGCCCUUUUAGAGACAUAUCCCCUACAAAUAAAGCAUCAGAAUUAUUAUCCUAAUA
rnacentral:lncRNA from 10 species